AAUUUUGGACAAUGGACGCAAGACCGAUCAAGACAGGCCGCGUGAGUCAGUAAGGCCCUCGGGUUGUAAAGCCCUUUCUGACGGAAAGCAAUCUGCCAGUCUAAUACCCUGCGCGGCUGACGACACCGUCAUAAGGAGCACCUGCUAACUACGUGCCAGCCGCCGCGGUAAUACGUGGGGUGCGAGUGUUAAUCGGAAUUAAUGGGCGUAAAGCGUGCGCAGGCGGUUGAUUAAGACAGGCGUGAAAUCCGCGGGCUUAACCUGGGAACUGCGCUUGGGACUGGUCAGCUAGAGUACGGCAGAGGGGGGUGGAAUUCCACGUGUAGCAGUGAAAUGCGUAGAGAUGUGGAGGAACACCGAUGGCGAAGGCAGCCCCCUGGGCCGAUACUGACGCUCAUGCACGAAAGCGUGGGUAGCAAACAGG
rnacentral:rRNA from 1 species